rnacentral:tRNA from 1 species
CGCGGGGUAGAGCAGUUUGGUAGCUCGCAAGGCUCAUAACCUUGAGGUCAUAAGUUCAAAUCCUGUCUCCGCAA